rnacentral:lncRNA from 10 species
UUUUUUUCAUCCUGGAAGCAGAUAAUCUUGUGUCUGAAUUCUUUUAUAAUAAAGCCCCCUUGACAGCAGAACUUUUAGGGAUAAGGAAAGGAACUUACGGAACAACUGAAGAAAUCCCAUGAAGCUUGGAAAGGAGAUGAAUAGUUAAAUACAGGAAUACCUUGCACAUAUUGUGAGUUUGGUUCUGACUACCACAAUAGAGCUACAUCAGAACUAACGACUUCCCACCUCUGGGUGGGGUGAGAUCCAUCUCAGGAGGCAAGUGAUAUGACAGAAGAAAAGGCUUCUUCUUCACAAUGAGAGCUUCAAAACGGAAAGGCACUUGCAUGCCAGCAUAUUUGCCCAGCUGUGCAGUAAUUGUCUUAAAUGUGAACUGAUGGAAGAAAAACAAACAAUGAGAGACUUUGUCCUCAACCCCAGACACUGACAAUGAAACCAUCCAAAGCAAAAAUGACAUUGAGAGUGAAAAUAAAACCUAGCCCAACCUGAAUGAGUGUUCUGUUUGUUUUUGAAAUGAGAUAUUCUAUCUCAAAAACUGUUGAGGCUUACUCUGGUGUCUCCAGGUUAAGGCUUGAAAUAAAA